UCUGUAUUUUGAUGGCUGUGGGGGAAAAGCAACCCCACUACAUUCUGUAACGUUAGGAAAUUGAUUCUGUAUCCUAGAAGAUAAUGGCAAACUCCAGAAAUUGAACAGCAAUUUUCUUAGACACUGCAUUGCGAAAGAACAUUUACAGGCAUAUUUACUAAAGUGAGCAUUGUCAUCAAUUCAUAGUGAAUUUCAGGUUUUAGACCAAAAUAGCUGAACUGGAAGCAUAGCUGAAUUAGAUAAUUGUUCCAAUUCAGCUAAUUUGGUCUUAAAUUUUUAAUUCACUUUGAAUUCACAAUUAUCACUUUAGUAAAUAACUCUGUUCGUUAAAAUAAAGCAUGCUUAUCAAUAUGUCAAAUAAUCAAUAUACUAACUUCUGAAGGUGUGGAUAGGGGUGAAACUUUUCUGGAACAUUUUAGGAGGCUUCAUAAUCCACAAACAUUAUUUUAUGUAAAGAAAAAUGUAAUUUAGAAUCAGACCAAAGUGUUUUAUUGAUGCUGGGCUCAUAUGCUAUUGUUUAACAAUACAGACUGUUAUAUACUUGUACACACCAAAACACCUUGAAAAAGAAGAACAAGGGACAAAAGAAGAAAAAAGAGGGACAAGGAAAUGUCGGCACUAAAUAAGGACUGUACCUCCUAAAGCGGGACACUUUUAACUUAUGAUACAGUAUAUAAUUAUAUCUCUCACAAUAGAAUCCAGGGCUUAUAAUAAAAAAGGGGAAAAAAGCUAAAAGCAAAUAGCUUUUAUUGUCAUUCAUUAACCCCUUUACUUCCAAAAUCAAGUAUAAACAUUUUUAUUUCCAUUUAGUGUGCAGUAUUAAAUUAAGUCCAUAAAGACUCACUCACCCUAAUUUAAACUCUAGUUAUGAUUACCAGCCUAUAGAUGAACACUUUUAUAUGCCAGAAGCCACCAGUCACUGAUAUAGUGCCUGCAAGUGUCCUGAAAAUGUAAGUUCACCCCAAACAUUAAAGGAAGCUUCAAUGGGUCAUAUCAUUCCUACAGUCACGGAAGAGUCAGAGUGAAUAGACUCUGUCAUUUCACUAUUAGCAUACGUUAGUGUCACAGAGAUUGCUCUCUACCUUUAUUUAAGAAAUAUAUAAUUUAACUGUAUUUACUCAUUAUGCAGGAAUUAUUUGUAAAUGCAAACAUUUUUUUUUGUCAUUUUCAGUAAGUUGUACUGCUAGUAAUGCUUUUGGUGUCCUUGCUAAUACCUAUAAGCAAGGUAUUUGACCAUUUAUAUUUAUCUAUUUUUGCCACACCUACUGUAUAUGAGAAAAAUGGCAUUUUUGCUUUUAUACUAACAUUUCAGAACCUGUGUGAAACCUGUAUACCGUCUAAAGCUUUUUAUUUCCCAAAUAUUUCUAUAAAAG